rnacentral:rRNA from 1 species
GACGACUAUUUGAAAAAUAAAGCCCGGCCUUAGCUGCUAGGUUCUAGCGUCUGACUCCUAUAUACACGCUAGAGCAACACAAUCAAAUUGCGGGAACCCUCUUGUCAAAGCAUAUAGCUACAGUUGCAAGCUAGUACCAAGCAUAGAGCACUUUCCCUCUAUAUACCGAUAAAAUAGAGGCUACUAUGUGGCCAAGGAGAUGUCAUCUUGGGUAUGGUAAGAACCUACUUGCUCCUAGAGCGACCCGCAGUUAGGGGCUAUAAAAGAUAGCUAUAGCCCCGAUUCACAGGCCAAACGAUAGUGGGCGUAUCACUAUUAGAUUGAUACAUCUAAGAUAUGGUCGAAAGUCUCGCUUAGGCGAGGACGAUAGUAGAAUGAAUGACAGUAUAGAGUAGAUCCAAGGGACCUAUUAAUGAUGUUUAAAAAGAAGCUCUCUUGGAUUCUGUAGUACAUGGAAAUCUAUACUAAUACUCGCCAAGGUCCUCCAGUCCCGCCAGCUCGGCCCAUUCUAUCUACUCUAUACUGGCAUCCUUUGCUAUCUGACAGGUGUUCCGUAGGUGAACCUGCGGAAGGAUCAUUA